rnacentral:lncRNA from 1 species
AUGGGUAGUUUAGUGGUGGCUACUGCAACACUUGGCCUUGAAAGGGGGUGAGAAAAGAAGUCGGAAACCAAGCAAGAGUAGUGAACAAAACUUUGCCUCAAAUUACAAGGGGUGAACACAAUCUCAUCCAAAGAUAGAGGUAGACACACUUCUCAGCCUAAAACAUCAUCUUCGUUACAGUUGAAUAGGCUCAAGUUCCUUGCACUGGGGAUAGAGAAGCAGGGUGCCAUUGCCAUCCAUAGGGUUAAAGGGAAGAGUAAGCAGUUGGGAGUUGGUGGGACAGCGAUAUUAUCAUUCAGAAGCUUAGUGAGAAGGAAUCUAGACAAUCUUUUUCUAAGGGUGUGAGGCUUCAAUUGUGCACUGGGUAUAUAGAUGGUCUAUAAUCUAUAUGUACUCAGUUAAAUGCUACAUGGUCUAGCGUUUUCAACUGCAUGUGGAUAUAGAUGGUCUAUAAUCUAUAUGUACUCAGUUAAAUGCUACAUGGUCUAGAGUUUUCAACUGCACGUGGAAAGGAGCCGCCUUCACGACCAUGUAAGUCGCCGCCCCAAGAUCAAAACCCCUAGAAGAAAUGAGCAGAUGACCUCAAUCAGGGUUCAAAAGAUCUAAGGAUCAAAGGUUGCAGAAUGAGUACACGACACACCCUCCAAGCUCGAAAUAGAUACAAAUGGUCAGGAAAUAUUUAUUAAUUUUGUCUUAG